rnacentral:tRNA from 1 species
CAGUGCGUAGCUAAACUAGAACAGCAUCUCCCUUACACCGAGAAGACGCCCGUGAAAACCGGGGCGCACUGA